AUGGUAUUUCAUUGUUUUAAGUGCGGCAAUAUUACUUUAAGCUAUAGUUAGUAAUGUAAAAACCCUAAAAUCUAAAAUUGUACUUACUAUUAAACAAAUCUUAAUUAAAUAUUAAGCUGAAUACUACCAAACACUUGUUAAAGAUUUAUUUUUUCUAAAUUUUAAACUAAAAAUUUACCUCAACUUCAAAAACUUUUUCAUAAAAAUAAAAGCAAAA
rnacentral:misc_RNA from 1 species